AACGAACGCUGGCGGCAGGCUUAACACAUGCAAGUCGAACGCGAAAUCACUUUCGGGUGGUGGAGAGUGGCAGACGGGUGAGUAACGCGUGGGAACCUACCUAGUGGUACGGAAUAACUCAGGGAAACUUGGGCUAAUACCGUAUGUGCCCGAAAGGGGAAAGAUUCAUCGCCACUAGAUGGGCCCGCGUCGGAUUAGCUUGUUGGUGAGGUAACGGCUCACCAAGGCGACGAUCCGUAGCUGGUCUGAGAGGAUGAUCAGCCACACUGGGACUGAGACACGGCCCAGACUCCUACGGGAGGCAGCAGUGGGGAAUAUUGGACAAUGGGCGCAAGCCUGAUCCAGCCAUGCCGCGUGAGUGAUGAAGGCCCUAGGGUUGUAAAGCUCUUUCGGCGGGGACGAUAAUGACGGUACCCGCAGAAGAAGCCCCGGCUAACUUCGUGCCAGCCGCCGCCGUAA
rnacentral:rRNA from 1 species